UACGUAGGGCGCAAGCGUUGUCCGGAAUUAUUGGGCGUAAAGAGCUCGUAGGUGGCUUGUUGCGUCUGCCGUGAAAGCCCGUGGCUUAACUACGGGUCUGCGGUGGAUACGGGCAGGCUAGAGGCUGGUAGGGGCAAGCGGAAUUCCUGGUGUAGCGGUGAAAUGCGCAGAUAUCAGGAGGAACACCGGUGGCGAAGGCGGCUUGCUGGGCCAGUACUGACGCUGAGGAGCGAAAGCGUGGGGAGCAAACAGG
rnacentral:rRNA from 1 species